GGCAUGGAGAGAUAGGGGGAAAGUUAAUUUCGUUCGGAAACCCCGUAGCAGACGCUAUGAUUGGCUUUGACAGUGGCCCCGCCAAGAAUCUCUCCGUAUUAGGCCACUCGGGGUUUGUAAUUUGUUAUUCCACCCUUUUCACAGGCAAAAUAAAUGGAAUUUGUAAGUUACAAUCUUGCAGUAAAAUCUAAUUUGUCGCAUGCGAUACAUCCUCCGUACGCGAGAGGGAAAAUUACGCAAACCCACGGCCACGUGGAAAAAGCAUUCAGGCUGUUGGUGGCUGACAAGCCACCAGAUAAGGAGGAGAGUUGAGAGGAGGGAAAAAAAAAUGUGGAUUCGAUGUUGCGAUAAACAAAUAGAUUGAGUAAAACAAGGAUAAAGAGUUUUUUUUUUGUCGAGAGAACAAAGAGCUAUCAGACUAUCAGUAACAAAGCAUCAAUAAAAAGGUAUGGAUAACUUCACAUGCAUGAUGGCCAACUAUUUGUACAGUUAAUUCAUGUGCGAGGCACUCCUCAUGCAUAGUUACCGGCACACGCUUACCUCAAUGAUAGUAUGUGAAAGAUCGUCAUCACAAAAGCGCCAUGAGUCAUCAAGAGGAUUACACGAGGUGGGGGAAAUCGUGCUAAGUAUUCGGCUACUGGAUUAGCCGCUAGGCUUUUGAUCUCAGUCUUCUCAGGUGAUUCGGAUCGAUAACUUCUUUUGGAUGAAAUCCGAUAAUGUUCCGUGGAGGCAUUGAAAUACGUCUGUGACGGGAUGAGGUUUUUGUUUCGAAAGUCAUCUUGACUCGUACGAGACGAGGCAGGCCGUGCGGGUCUCGACUUCAAAACCACGUUUUUCUUUCUUUCACUUCCAAGCCUUUGUUUUGCUUUUGUCGCUUUAAGUGAGGGUGAAGAUCUCAGCUGGUGGUCAAAGCGAAUUACUUCGGCCAGAUUUUGGAUUGUCUACGAUCCAGGAUAGAAGGUCCACCACUACCUAUCAUAUCCUUGUUCCACGUGGUGAAGUGUGGAGUAUUUUUUAUUUUAUUUUAUUUUUAUUUUUUUUUAUUUAUUUUUUUUUACCAGAUACUCCCUAUGAGGUUCGGGAUUGACAGGUCCGAUAUUUAAUUUACAUGAGGGGAGACGUAUCACGGAAAAUGCGCUUGUCAUACCAUGUGGUUGAUGAUCUCUUCUGUUUGAGGGCUGAAUAGUAAGUUCUAAGCAUACUCACCGGAAAUGCCGGAAGUUGAUAUAUGACUCCGCAUAUGAGGAGAAUGGCGGUGAGCAUCAGUGAUCAUCUGUAUCGCCUACUGGGUGCGAUAACAGAUUCGGAUUUUUUGAAAUAUUACUCUAUCAUAUCCACGAGUUCUCGAUUGUGUUUUAACAAUGGGAGUCCAUGAUUGGCAAGGUUCCCAACCAGUCGGAAAAUCUACCAAAGAUCAUGAAGGAAACCUCACGGAAAGAAACCGAUGGGUAAUGUUUUAUCAUGGUUAUUUGGUAGAGACGUACCUCGGUCUUAAGGCCGUCGUAGCUAGUCUCUUAUCAUCCAGCCGAGCACGUUGGAUUUUGAUUUGAGAGCAUCUAAAAAGACAGCCACGAGGUCCCAACAUCUCGGUUCUGGGUACGAAACCUAGCUAGUGUAAACUUAAUUCCUGUAA
rnacentral:lncRNA from 1 species